CACCGCCCGUCACCAUCACGAAAGUGGGUUGUACUACGAAGUCCGCGCGCUAACCGCAAGGAGGCAGCGGCCCAAGGUAUGACUCAUGAUUGGGGUG
rnacentral:rRNA from 1 species